rnacentral:rRNA from 1 species
UACGUAGGGUGCGAGCGUUAAUCGGAAUUACUGGGCGUAAAGCGUGCGCAGGCGGUGGUGCAAGACAGAUGUGAAAUCCCCGGGCUCAACCUGGGAACUGCAUUUGUGACUGCACGGCUGGAGUGCGGCAGAGGGGGAUGGAAUUCCGCGUGUAGCAGUGAAAUGCGUAGAUAUCAGGAGGAACACCGAUGGCGAAGGCAGGUCUCUGGGCUGACACUGACGCUCAUGCACGAAAGCGUGGGGAGCAAACAGG